rnacentral:rRNA from 1 species
CUAAGAAUAUUCCGCAAUGGACGAAAGUCUGACGGAGCGACGCCGCGUGGAUGAAGAAGGCCGGAAGGUUGUAAAGUUCUUUUAAGCAUGAAGAAGGAUUAUUGCAGGAAAUGGCAGUAAAGUGACGGUAGUGCUUGAAUAAGAGGCGGCUAAUUACGUGCCAGCAGCCGCGGUAACACGUAAGCCUCGAGCGUUGUUCGGAAUUAUUGGGCGUAAAGGGCAUGUAGGCGGACCUGCAAGCUUGGAGUGAAAUCCACGGGCUCAACCCGUGAACUGCUCCGAGAACUGCAGGACUCGAAUCGCUGAGGGGAGCCGGAAUUCCAGGUGUAGGGGUGAAAUCUGUAGAUAUCUGGAAGAACACCAAUGGCGAAGGCAGGUUUCUAGCAGACGAUUGACGCUGAGGUGCGAAGGUGCGGGGAGCAAACAGGAUUAGA